CAGGGUUGUAGUUUAAUAAAAAUAUGAGCAUUGGAAGCUUAAGAUUAGGUAAUGAACCUAUACCUUGA
rnacentral:tRNA from 1 species